GGGAACGUGCCUUCCGGUUCGGAAUAACCCUGGGAAACUAGGGCUAAUACCGGAUACGCCCUUAUGGGGAAAGGUUUACUGCCGGAAGAUCGGCCCGCGUCUGAUUAGCUAGUUGGUGGGGUAAUGGCCUACCAAGGCGACGAUCAGUAGCUGGUCUGAGAGGAUGAUCAGCCACACUGGGACUGAGACACGGCCCAGACUCCUACGGGAGGCAGCAGUGGGGAAUAUUGGACAAUGGGCGCAAGCCUGAUCCAGCCAUGCCGCGUGAGUGAUGAAGGCCUUAGGGUUGUAAAGCUCUUUUGUCCGGGACGAUAAUGACGGUACCGGAAGAAUAAGCCCCGGCUAACUUCGUGCCAGCAGCCGCGGUAAUACGAAGGGGGCUAGCGUUGCUCGGAAUCACUGGGCGUAAAGGGCGCGUAGGCGGCCAUUCAAGUCGGGGGUGAAAGCCUGUGGCUCAACCACAGAAUUGCCUUCGAUACUGUUUGGCUUGAGUUUGGUAGAGGUUGGUGGAACUGCGAGU
rnacentral:rRNA from 1 species